AGCUUUGCGCAGUGCAGUAUUGUAGCCAAUGAGGUUUAUCCGAGGCGCGAUUAUUGCUAAUUGUACUAUAUGACUAUAUUUCCCCGAAAUCUUUAUUGAGGUUGUGUAGAACUGUUGAGAUCCUUUUAUUUCAUGA